UCCUAUGGGAGGCAGCAGUGGGGAAUAUUGGACAAUGGGCGCAAGCCUGAUCCAGCCAUGCCGCGUGUGUGAAGAAGGCCUUCGGGUUGUAAAGCACUUUCAGCGAGGAGGAAGGGAUUGUAGUUAAUAGCUGCAAUUUUUGACGUUACUCGCAGAAGAAGCACCGGCUAACUACGUGCCAGCAGCCGCGGUA
rnacentral:rRNA from 1 species